rnacentral:rRNA from 1 species
UUAAGCAUAUCAAUAAGCGGAGGAAAAGAAAAUAACAAUGAUUUCCCUAGUAACGGCGAGUGAAGAGGAAAGAGCUCAAAGUUGGAACCUGUUUGGCUUAGCUAAACCGGAUUGUAAACUGUAGAAGUGUUUUCCAGGUACGCCAGGUAAAAAAGUCCUUUGGAACAGGGCAUCAUAGAGGGUGAGAAUCCCGUCUUUGGCCUGAGCUGUUGCCUUUUGUGAUACAUUUUCAAAGAGUCAGGUUGUUUGGGAAUGCAGCCUAAAUUGGGUGGUAAAUCUCACCUAAAGCUAAAUAUUUGCGAGAGACCGAUAGCGAACAAGUACCGUGAGGGAAAGAUGAAAAGAACUUUGAAAAGAGAGUUAAACAGUAUGUGAAAUUGUUAAAAGGGAACCGUUUGGAGCCAGAUUGGCUUGACAGUAAUCAACUUAGGCUUUGGCCUGAGUGCACUUGCGGUCUAUGCCUGCCAACGACAGUUUUGUUUGGGGGAAAAAAUUAUAAGGAAUGUGGCCUCUCGGGGUGUUAUAGCCUUAUAAAAAAUACCCUGGAUGGGACUGAGGAACGCAGUGAAUGCCUUUAGGCAAGGUUGCUAGGUGCUUUCGUUAAUAAAUGCUAGAAUUUCUGCUUCGGGUGGUGCUAGUGUUUAAAGAUGGAACUCGCUUGGUAUACUUUUAU